CUUGGUCAUUUAGAGGAAGUAAAAGUCGUAACAAGGUUUCCGUAGGUGAACCUGCGGAGGGAUCAUUAUCGAAACAUCGCCUGCGCUGUGCGCCUCGCACGCCGGGCUAUUGUCUCCUCACACCUGUGCACCUUCGGGCCGUCCAGGCGGCCCGCCCCUUUUCAUAUUUACACCGGUCUUCGAAUGUAACAUGUGUAUAUCUAAUAUACGUCACAACUUUCAACAACGGAUCUCUUGGCUCUCGCAUCGAUGAAGAACGCAGCGAAAUGCGAUAAGUAAUGUGAAUUGCAGAAUUCAGUGAAUCAUCGAAUCUUUGAACGCACCUUGCGCUCCUUGGUAUUCCAUGGAGCAUGCCUGUUUGAGUGUCACGUGAAUCCAUCACCUCCCUUCGGGGUUGCGUGGACUUGGACGCUGCCGGCCCGAUUGCGGUCGGCUCGUCUCGAAAUGCAUUAGCCUGCAGAGUGUCUGCCGGGCCUUUGGCGUGAUAGUACAUUUCGCCGCUGCGCUCUGGUGACGUCUGGCUCUGGGCUCAUAAUGACGAGCGUCUCGCUCGAUAUAAUUUUUUACGCUCUGGCCUCAAAUCAGGUAGGACUACCCGCUGAACUUAAGCAUAUCAAUAAGCGGAGGAAAAGAAACUAACAAGGAUUCCCCUAGUAACGGCGAGUGAAGCGGGAAAAGCUCAAAUUUGAAAUCUGGCGGUCUCAGGCCGUCCGAGUUGUAUUCUAGAGAGGCGUCUUCCGCGCCGGACCGUGUACAAGUCCCUUGGGAUAGGGCGUCAUAGAGGGUGAGAAUCCCGUCCAUGACACGGACCGCCGGUGCUUUGUGAUGCGCCUUCAAAGAGUCGAGUUGUUUGGGAAUGCAGCUCAAAAUGGGUGGUAAAUUCCAUCUAAAGCUAAAUACAGGCGAGAGACCGAUAGCGAACAAGUACCGUGAGGGAAAGAUGAAAAGCACUUUGGAAAGAGAGUUAAACAGUACGUGAAAUUGUUGAAAGGGAAACGCUUGGAGUCAGUCGCGUCCGCCGGGACUCAGCUGGGCUUUUGCCCGGUGCACUUCUCGGCGGAUGGGCCAGCAUCGAUUUCAGCUGCCGGACAAGGGCGGGAGGAAUGUGGCACCUCCGGGUGUGUUAUAGCCUCUCGUCGUAUACGGUGGCCGGGAUCGAGGUCAGCAGCACGCCUUAUGGUCGGGGUUCGCCCACGCCACGUGCUUAGGAUGCUGGCGUAAUGGCUCUAAACGACCCGUCUUGAAACACGGACC
rnacentral:rRNA from 1 species